UACGUAGGGGGCUAGCGUUGUCCGGAAUCAUUGGGCGUAAAGAGCGUGUAGGCGGUCCGGUAAGUCCGCUGUGAAAGUCGGGGGCUCAACCCUCGAAUGCCGGUGGAUACUGUCGGGCUCGAGUCCGGAAGAGGCGAGUGGAAUUCCUGGUGUAGCGGUGAAAUGCGCAGAUAUCAGGAAGAACACCAAUGGCGAAAGCAGCUCUCUGGGACGGUACUGACGCUGAGACGCGAAAGCGUGGGGAGCGAACAGG
rnacentral:rRNA from 1 species